rnacentral:rRNA from 1 species
AUGGCGACCGGCGCACGGGUGAGUAACGCGUAUCAACCUGCCCUUUACUAUGGGACAGCCCGUCGAAAGGCGGAUUAAUACCGUAUGUUGUCAUGUUGAUGCAUAUUUUCAUGACCAAAGGCUUCGGCCGGUAAAGGAUGGGGAUGCGUCUGAUUAGCUUGCCGGCGGGGUAACGGCCCACCGGGGCGACGAUCAGUAGGGGUUCUGAGAGGAAGGUCCCCCACAUUGGAACUGAGACACGGUCCAAACUCCUACGGGAGGCAGCAG